rnacentral:rRNA from 1 species
GGGGAAUUUUCCGCAAUGGGCGAAAGCCUGACGCAGCGACACCGCGUGAAGGAUGAAUGCCUUCGGGUUGUAAACUUCUGAAAAUAGCACCGGCUAACUACGUGCCAGCAGCAGCGGUCAUACGUAGGGUGCAAGCAUUAUUCGGAUUUACUGGGCGUAAAGAGUUCUGUAGGCGGUAAUAUAAGUCAUAGGUUAAAUCUUUGGGCCUAACCCAAAGACUGCUUCUGAUACUGUAUUACUAGAGACAUCUAGGGGAUAGCAGAACAUAUGGUGGAGCGGUGAAAUGCGUUGAUAUCAUACGGAACACCAAGGGGGAAGCCAGCUAUCUGGGGAUGUUCUGACGCUGAGAGACGAAAGCGUGGGGAGCGAAACGGAUUAGAUACCCGUGUAGUCCACGCCCCAAACAAUGCCUGCUAGAUGCUCCGUUUUAAUGGGGUGUCGAAGCUAACGCGUUAAGCAGGCCGCCUGGGGAGUACGGUCGCAAGGUUAAAACUCAAAGGAAUUGGCGGGGACCCGCACAAGCGGUGGAGCAUGCUCUUUAAUUGGCUGCUAACCCAAAAACCUUACCAAGGCUUGACAUGUAACUGCAAAUCCGGUGAAAGCCGGACUCCUUCGAGGGUGUUACACAGGUGUUGCAUGGCUGUCGUCAGCCCGUACCGUAAGGCGUACCCUUAAGUGGGUUAACGAGCGCAACCCUUAUUGCUAGUUGUAUCACUCUAGCGAAACUGCCGCCGCAAGGCGGAGGAAGGUGGGGAUGACGUCAAGUCGGUAUUGCCCUUAUGCCUUGGGCUAGAAGCAUACUACAAUGGCCGGUACAACGAGUCGCAAAGUCGAGAGGCUAAGCAAAUCUCUUAAAACCGGUCUCAGUUCAGAUUGAGGUCUGCAAUUCGACCUCAUGAAGUUGGAAUCGCUAGUAAUUGCAGGUC